rnacentral:pre_miRNA from 1 species
AAGUUACUCCCUCCGUUCGGAAUUACUUGUCUCGGAAAUGGAUGUAUCUAGAACUAAAAUACGUCUAGAUACAUCCAUUUCUCCGACAAGUAAUUCCGAACGGAGGGAGUAUAUA